AUCAGACAAAUGCAGCAGCAGAGAAGCAGACAAAACCAGACUGACCUGUAGAUUAAUUUGAGGAGUUAGGCAAUUAUUUAGAUUAUAUCAACGCCCAAACAUGAAAACAGGAAAUACAGGUUUCCUGGUUGUGGUCGUUUGGUUGUGUCUCUUCAUUUCAUCAUUUCUGGCACAAGAAGGUGACAACAUGGAGAGAAACGCAACUGCUUCUGAGAAAGUCGUCCGUCAGUCCCAGUCGCUGUGUGACGGCGAGCGGGAGUUUGUUCAGAAGAGGAAACAAAUAGUUCUGGAGACUCUAAACAAUUUGGAAAUCAACUGUACUGAGAACUCGGUUCCCCACAUCGCCUUGCUGGGGUCAGGUGGAGGUCAGAGGGCCGCUGUGGCUAUGGUGGGUUCCCUCUAUCAGCUGGAGAAGGACAAUCUGCUGGACACCCUGCUGUACCUGGCGGGAGUUUCUGGCUCAACAUGGUCCAUGGCCUCAAUGUACAGCGACCCAAAGUGGAGCUCCAACAUGGACGGAGCUGUUUCCAAGCUGUCAGGUGAUGGGGUGGAGCUGGAGGAGGCCCUGGCCUGGCUGCACGAGAGGGCCAAAGAGAAACACUUCUCUCUCACUGAUAUCUGGGCAGUCCUAACCUCUGCUGGCAUCAUGAAGGAGAUGUACCUGCGGCGUUUGUCAGAGGAGGCCGACAGGAAUGCCACCAACCCUUACCCCAUCUAUUCUGCCAUAGAGAAGCAGUGCUUCUCAGAUGGGCCCACAGAAGGGAAAUGGUUCGAGAUAAGCCCUCAUGAAGCCGGAUUCCCAGCGUUGGGUCUCUUUGUUGAAACGUCUCUCCUGGGCAGCAAGUUUCAGAGUGGAGAGCUGCUGGAGAAGAAGCCAGAGAUGGACAUGGUCAAACUGCAAGGUGUGUUAGGAUCUGCGAUCGCUGAUGAGGAGACCGUCAGAGAUGCCAUCCCUACCUGGCUGGAUGUGCCGGAGUAUUUGGACAGUUCAGCUCAGAAGUACCUGCUUGUCUAUGCUGUCCUUAAUAAACUGGCAUUGCUGACCAGAGGCACCAUUACAGAUCCUGCUGCUCUAACUUAUCUGGACACGAUACAGAAAACACUAAAAGACAUGGUAUACAACAAUCAGUCUGCGAGGUUGUAUUCGAAGACUUCAGAGGAAAGGCAGGAUGCUUUUAAAGCGAUGAGCCUGGAGCUGCAGGCAGCAGUCGAGUCCUGGUGUGAAGGUCUGCAGGAUGAACGUUUCAAAAGACAAGUUUCUGCCAUUUUAAAACAAGUCAUUCCUCUGAUUCAUAAAUGGGAGUGGGGAACAACCAGAAACUUCCUCUAUCAAUACCAAGAUCCCUGUGUUCCACCUUGCCUCCAGACAAAAGACACUAUCCACCUGAUAGACGCUGGAUCACUGAUCAACGUGCCCUAUCCUUCAUUUCUGGGAGACAAGAGAGACAUCGACCUCAUCAUUGCACCAGAGUACAGCGCUGGAAACAUGUUUGAGACUCUGACUCUUGCAAGAAAUUAUUCAGCCGAAUUGAUGAAGCCUUUCCCAGAGAUAGACGACGAAAUCCUGAAGGACAGAGACUUCCCGAAGGACUGCUAUGUGUUGGAGGGAGGAGAAACGGCGCCCACGAUCAUCUACAUGCCGCUGUUCAACCAACAGAACUGCAAAGAUGCUGAAGAGUUCAAAGCGAAGAUGGACGAGUACAACACCUUCCAGCUGCCCUACACCCAGGAGAAGAUCGACUUUGUGCUGGAGACGGCAAAAGCCAACAUGAAAAACAACAGAGAGACGCUGCUGAGGGAGAUAAAGAAGGCCGUUCUCCGCAGAGAGAAAAAGGAGUAAGGGCGGGUCUGAGUGGGACGGGGUGUAAAGUGAGAGGGAGAGAGAGAUAAAGGAAUCAGAGAUCAUCACGCAUCACUGUCAAUGAAUCCUACAUGGGGGCAGAAGCUUACUUCUUGCUUGACAGGUUUGCUGUGAUUCAGCAUCUGUGGUUUCCUAAUGAUCAAAAGGCAGAUGCUGUCCUGGCUUUACGUUAUUGCUCUCCGCUACACAGGAGGCAGAGAAAACACAACUUAUACACAGUUAUAGAAUGAAUAUACAAGCAUGUCUGCUGGAAAUCUGGUGGUUGGGUUUUAGUGGGAGUUUUACUUUAAAUAUAAAUGUGACUGCAUCUUAUUUUUGCUCUAUUGUAUGGUGAAUAACUACACUAUUAAAAGUAUCUGGACACCCA